UUAGCCAGGCGUGGUGGUAGAUGCCUGUAAUCCCAGCUACUCAGGAGGCUGAGGCAUAAGAAUUGCUUGAACCCAGGAGGCAGAGGUUGCAGUGAGCAGAGAUUGCGCCACUGCACUCCAGCCUGGGCAACAGAGUAAGACAGUCUUUAAAAAAAAAAAAAAAAAAAAAAAAAAAAAAAAAAAAGCUGCCAGCAGAGUAAGACUGCACAAAUGGCAGUAGGCUGAGGCAGCAGAGUGGGGCAGCCCUGGAAAGGCAGCUGGCUCCUGGGCAGGGCCAACCACAGCCAGCCCAGUUGAGCUAAGCCCCUGCCCCUCCAGCUCUCCUUCAUGAGGUCUGCUGCCUCAGUUAAUCUCUCCUCUCUCCAUCCUGCCCACUACCCCUCGCUCAGCAGGGCAAGGACAUACCGCCCAUCCUGAGACCCUCCCUGCACUCAGAAACCUGGGAGAUCCCUUUUGAGAAGAACUGUGGGGAGGACAAGAAGUGUGAGGCAAACUUGAGAGUGUCCUUCUCUCCUGCAAGAUCCAGAGCCCUGCGUCUAACUGCUUUUGCCAGCCUCUCUGUGGAGCUGAGCCUGAGU
rnacentral:sRNA from 1 species